UCUCUCUCCUUUCUCGCACAACUUAGCUCUCACCCAAUGCACUCCUUUGAACCUUAGCUCCAUGGAACAAUAUACUACUGCUGAUCCCAAAAUAGCAUAUCCAAAUUAUAAGAAAAUCCAUAGAGGUCCGCCGCUCUUACCAUUGUGUGUCCGUUAGCUCCGCCAGGCCCGCCACGUGCUUCAUCAAGACCGCCGAGCAUUCUAAUUUCAUCGUGUGUUUAGAUCUGCCGUUCGUUUGGAUCUACCGUGCAUUCCAUCACUUUUGGGCUCGAGCUGUUCGUUCUUCCGCCAUGCGUUCCGUCACUCUCAAGCUUGAGCUAGGCCGUUUGAUUUCCAUGAUUUUUUAUUUAGUCAGUUGUUAAUACGAACAUUUGUAGUUUUGAUGUAGUCUUCAUUGGAACAUUAUAUUAAAGGUUAAAGAAUGGCUUCAAAAUCUAGGAAUAAGAUAUCAAAUAGCAGUGCCCUAAGAUGAGGAUGGAACCAGAUGAUGAGGCCGAUCCUCUGCAUCAUGAUGAAUUCCUAAAAAUAGAAGGUCGAUAGCUGCUCAUCCUUGGCAUGAUCUUGAGAUUGGUACUUUCAUAUCUGUUAUAACAUUUUUCGUUUUGACCUUACUGUGGUUAUGCCUGUCAUUGUUCUGAUUUAAUUUUACUUUUUGUUUUCUUCUCGUCUGCAAGACCUGAUGCUCCCAAGAUUUUGAAUUGUGUAUGUUUUCCCCUCUUUCUUUUAUGUAUGUUCAAAAUUUAUGGAAAUUUAAGCAUUGAUGAUUAGAUGUAACAAAAGUAGAGUUGUUUAGAAGCCAUGUUCAUGGUUUGAUUGCCAGUUGGACCAAUGCCACUGCCUGGAGCUGAGGGUCAUAUUAGCUAUAUGGAACUUUUUAAAAUUAUUCUACAUGCAGAAUCUUCUCCUGUGAGAAGCAACGUGACAAUAUGGAACUUUUUGGUCCAAUCUCAUGGCAGGUAGCAUGGUUCGAGCCUCAAAAGCUGCUUUGACUUCAGAGCAGGAGAGACUACAAAAACUUGAGGAGGUGAAGAAGGGAAACCAAGCAUUGAGAUUGAGUUCAAAUAAGGUCUGACAUGACUCAUUAACAAAUACUUUGAAAGCUUAUUAUUUUGUCGGUUCUAUAUGACAGAUAUUGCCAGACAUAGAUAUUUCGUUUUCACGUGGAAUGCAACUUACUGGUCAGGUUAGCAUAUGAUAGUUAACAUUUGUUAACAUCUGAUUCAAUGUGUCUCUCACCCUUUCUUAAACCCCAUCUUAGAAUUAUGUCAUCACUUCUAUUAAUUAAAUGUACAAGACCUAGCAGAAGCUUAAUUAGUGAAUUUGGAGUAGUUUCAAGGGAGUUCUUUGCGAAAAUUAAGGUAUUCAGAUUAAUUAGGAAACUAAUGAAUAUAGGCAUACUACCCUGUUAUAAGCUUUUUUGAUAAGUUGAAUUGUUUGUGCUUAGUUGUUUAUAAGUUUAUUUAUUUAUUUUUAGUUUAGGAUUCUGCAUUUUUUCUGACAAAGUCGCUUUUUGUUAGUAUUUUAUAUUAGUUUUGGUAAUAUUACUUGUUUUGGGUUCAUAAGAUCUUGUUAUUUCUAUAUCAAAUUAGACUUCCCUAUUGAAGCUUCUAUUUGUAACUUCGGAUUAGUUUUGGACUCAUUCGAUCAUUUUUCAGUUAGGACUCAAAUCAUUUUCGGUAAGUUUUAUACUGGAAAGAAAUUUUUUUAUUUACUUGUUAUCUCACUAAUUUUUCUAUUGCACCUUAUUGAGGGUAAAAUUAUGUUCUGUUUUUUUACUUAUUUGUUCAAAUUCUUGUUUUAUCUACUUUGUAGAUGGGAGAAUAGUCUCGAGGUUCCAAAAAUUGACAUAAGAGAAACUUGGGAAGACAUCGAUGGACAUUCUUCAUUUAUCUUCAACUUAUUUUUAGUCAUUUUAACUAUUUUGUAAUUUUAUUUUUAAUUCUAUUCUUGUGUGCAACUUAGCAUAUAUACUCUACUUGUUCGAUGUAGAAUAUAUAUGUAUACUUCAUGGUUGAUACGUAGGGAUUUGCGGUCGAAACAAAUAGAGUUGAUUUGGAUAAAAAA